rnacentral:rRNA from 1 species
GAUGAACGCUGGCGGCGUGCUUAACACAUGCAAGUCGAGCGAAGCACUCUGCUUUGAUUUCUUCGGGAUGAAGAGCAUUGUGACUGAGCGGCGGACGGGUGAGUAACGCGUGGGUAACCUGCCUCAUACAGGGGGAUAACAGUUAGAAAUGGCUGCUAAUACCGCAUAAGACCACAGCACCGCAUGGUGCGGGGGUAAAAACUCCGGUGGUAUGAGAUGGACCCGCGUCUGAUUAGCUAGUUGGUGGGGUAACGGCCUACCAAGGCGACGAUCAGUAGCCGACCUGAGAGGGUGACCGGCCACAUUGGGACUGAGACACGGCCCAAACUCCUACGGGAGGCAGCAGUGGGGAAUAUUGCACAAUGGGGGAAACCCUGAUGCAGCGACGCCGCGUGAGCGAAGAAGUAUUUCGGUAUGUAAAGCUCUAUCAGCAGGGAAGAAAAUGACGGUA